UACAGAGGUCUCAAGCGUUAUCCGGAUUCAUUGGGUUUAAAGGGCGCGUAGGCGGCUUGCCAAGUCAGGGGUGAAAUCCUCCGGCUUAACCGGAGAAGUGCUUUUGAUACUGGCGAGCUUGAGGGAGGUAGGGGCAGGCGGAACUUCCGGUGGAGCGGUGAAAUGCGUAGAUAUCGGAAGGAACGCCGGUGGCGAAAGCGGCCUGCUGGACCUCUUCUGACGCUGAGGCGCGAAAGCCAGGGGAGCGAACGGG
rnacentral:rRNA from 1 species